CAAUAAUGGGGAGUGGUCAGAUGAGUAGACUACUUGGUGUGAAGAUAGUGGGUUGAGCAAGUUGGUUUCAGACUUGUUAUAAAUUGAUGGUAUAUGUAUUCACUAUAGACUCUAUUCUUGUAUUUGCCAAUAGAGUAUUAUUAUCUAAUUAUCAGCUGAGAGCAUGUUUCACAUUUUAAGCUAAUAAACUAUCUGUAGUUGUUGAUUAGAAGUAGAAACUUAAUUUAACAUUUAUACAUUUUACUAAAUUUUGAGACAAAACUUAUUUUUCUAUACAGAGUUUGGACUCUAAAUGACAAGAUCUAUUGCACAAUGAAACUGAUGUAGAAAAAAUGUGUUUUUUAGGAGUAGAAUUUUAAGGUAGUGUGAUUAUAGGUUAGGCUUGCCAGAUGAGAGCACAGUGUUAAAUGUAGACCUACAUUUGGUCUCUACAGGAAAUUAAGUCUUAUUUUUGAUUCAUUUAUUGUGUACUUUAUGUAGCUGGUGUGGUUAGAAAGAUCUGAGAUCUACUUUUCCU
rnacentral:lncRNA from 1 species